rnacentral:rRNA from 1 species
CGGAUUGAAGGCUGAAAUUCGCCUUCAUGAAGCUGGAAUUGCUAGUAAUGGCAGGUCAGCAUACUGCCGUGAAUACGUUCCCGGGCCUUGUACACACCGCCCGUCACACCAUGAGAGCCGAUAACACCCGAAGCCUGUGAGCUAACUUUAAGAGGCAGCAGUCGAAGGUAGAAUCAAUGAUUGGGGUGAAGUCGUAACAAGGUAUC